AGGGGAAUCGCCAAGCCGGUUAAGGCACUGGAUUUUGAUUCCAGCAUUCGAAGGUUCGAAUCCUUCUUCCCCUGCCA
rnacentral:tRNA from 4 species